rfam:Trichophyton rubrum CBS 118892 mitochondrial scaffold supercont2.36, whole genome shotgun sequence.
GCCCGAGUAGUUUAAUGGUAGAACAAUAAUUUCAUGAAUUAAGAAUGAGAAUUCGAUUUUCUCCUCAGGCU